ACUGAGCUGCCCAGGUGCCCCAAGAGUCAGAUAUUUAACCAACUGAGCCACCCAGCCACCCCCAGUUUCAGAUUUCCAAAGGUCUGAGUUUUGAGAUGAUUUACAGUGACCUUAAAAAUAAAUCUGCCAGUGAUUUUACAGCCAAAAAGAGGAGAUAUUUGGAGAAUAGCAGAGAAUUGUAAUCCAGGACAAGUAAGCUACUGCAAAACCAUGGACAAGUCCCACUGAGCAAAGAAGAAACAGGGAAUUUGAAAUGGCUGCCAUCAACACAAAGUCCAUUAAAGGCAGUUAGGAGUUGGAAGUAUAAAUGCUUCUCGCUGGCUAAGUUAUGACAGUCCUUCUCUCGCCGGGCUAUUGGCAGGCGAGGAGGAAACUCUGGACCUGCUGGAGUUGGACUCCGGCACCCUGAUUCUCUCCCUGCAGAGAUGUGGUGGGUGGUCUAUACCCCCACAGAAAUCCUCUGCUCCUGGCUGAAAGCACCUUCUAGGUAGCUUCUGUCUUCAGACAAAGGCAGGUAUUCAGUGUUUCCUUCUGCUGUCGUUCACCGUGUACUUUCCAACAACUGUAUCUUUGUGCCUUGCCCCCAACACAGAAUGCCCUCCUCCUAGUCCAAACCUAGUGAAUGGAAAGCAGAUAUGGGGCCUGAGUUGGAGCAGCCAUUUUGCAACCUUGAAGAGUAGAGUCUGAUCCUUGUGAUGGCAGAAAAGGAGGAUAGAAAGAUCCUGAAACACUGAUGCCUCAGGGAGCCACUGCCUGACCAGCCUGUUUCUAUAUGAGGAAAAGUAAAUCCCAAUUUGGUUACAUUUCCAUCAUUGAGAUUAUAUGCGAGCAAAAGCAACUUCUCAUGGACAAUGGCCUGCCGGAAACCCUGGGUUUCUUUCAGGAAUUUGUGAAGCUGAACCCAACGGCCUUCAUGUUAUAUCUCAAUUAUUUUCCCUCAAAACAAAACAAACAAUAUUAAAGUUCUACCUUAC